rnacentral:rRNA from 1 species
AGUCUUGCGUGGUUCGGUCACUAGUACGAGAGGACCGUGAUUGACAGACCUCCGGUUUGCCGGUUGUGCCGCCAGGUGCACCGCCGGGUAUCCGCGUCUGGAUCGGAUAAGCGCUGAAAGCAUCUAAGUGCGAAGCCGGCCACAAGAUUAGGACUCCUUAUAGGGUCGUCGCAGACUACGACGUUGAUAGGGUGCAGGUGUAAAGACGGCGACGUCAAAGCCGAGCACUACUAAUUGCCCGAACACUUUCUUCGU